CUCUCACUCGCGGUCCCAUUACUACCCUCGCUUCCGCCGCCUCGUCUUAGCUUCCCCUUUCUUUCCCCCCUUGUUUAUCUCAUUCUAGGUCAUAUAGUCGGAGAGGGAGAGAUGCAAGGUAUGACUAAGGAUCUAGAUAUGGAGCUUCGAAAGCUAAAUUGCAGAACGACGGGUGGAUUCAUAAAGUUGCUUACCGAGCAGAAAAAUCCUUCUCUUUGUAAAUUUGCAUCAAUUUUAUCCUGCUGCUAACUUCUCCUCUGCAUUCUCUUCCCCGGAUGGAUAAUUUCUGUUGAGUUGCAGACAUGGAUGAUACUGUCAGUAUAACUAAUUUAUACUCACUUCAACGUUGUAAAACAGUUCACCUGGUAAGGCAUGCCCAAGGGUUCCAUAAUGUAGCAGGAGAAAAAGAACCUAGUGCAUACAUGUAAGAAGUGUUUUUUAUGCAAAGCUCCCACAUCUUGGCUGGCAGCAGGUAGUAAAUUUAGUCAAUAAUUCAUGUCAGAUUAUCUCAUGUAAAUAUACCCUAAUUUACAAUAACAUAUAUACUUCCAACAAGGUUAUUUUGAAAUAACCGUUGGUUAUUUAAAUAACCCAAGAUCGAACAAGCCUUUGCAGAUCCACGCUAUGGUGAUUUUCAAGUUUAUUAUGCGUUCCAUAUUAUAACAGAAUUACAAUAAAAUUGAAAAACUAUGUUGAGCUGCGUUUUCAGUUUGUUUUCUUAUCUGAAUCGAUAAGCCAACCAACGAGCAGUGAAUCGAAUCAAUGGUGGAGAAAAGCUUCAAAUACGUCAUCCUAGGUGGAAACACUAGUUCUUGAAGGAGGAACGAGAGAUUGAACUUGGGUUUCCAAUUGAUGUCAAGCAUAUUGCACAUUUUGGCUUCAUAUGACUGAAAACUUCUUUCCACCCUAUUUUUUUUUCUAACCCCACCAAAAUGAAUUGAUGCAAUAUUGUAUUAUUAUUGUAGGGUUAUGCUGCUAGAGAGUUCUACAAGCAUGGUAUUAAGCCAGGUGAACUUGCAAUUAUUUUUAAAGGAGCGGUAUGUAUGAUUUUCUCUGCAUCUGUUGUCUUUUUCAUGUAUCUUGUUAAUUUUUUAUUGGAGUGAUGAUGAUUUGAUUUUGGUUUCGUUCAUUUUGGUCAUCACUAUUGGUACUUGUGAUGAUGGGCAUUUUCUGGCUUUCAGUUUGCUCCUUAUGAGCUAAGAUCUGCAGUGGGAUAAUCAAUGAUUGAAAAUAUUGUUGUUCAUAUAGGUCUGUAAUUGCUUUCUGAGAACUUAUCUGUUAAA